CAUCUUGAAUAUGUGGUUUCAUUUUUGAACCUGCAUGUCCUACAUGCGAUUUCAGAUUGAAUCAUCCAGUGCAAAUUUCAAAUUGAAACCACUUAUGGAACAUGCGGUUUCAAUUUUGUACCCACCUCAUAAAAAAAAUUAAAUCAAAUUGAAACUGCAUCUUAAACAUACGGUUUCAGUGUUUAAAAUUGAAACUGCAUUUUGAACAUGC
rnacentral:lncRNA from 1 species